CCCGUGGAGACUUUUAGGUUAAUUUAGAUCUCAAGAUAUAUGACUCGACCCGACCCGAUCCGACCCAAACCGGAUCCAAAUAUAAGACCCGAACUCAGUUAGAAUGACUCAUCCAAAUAAGAAUUUGGACUUGGGCCAAAAAAGUGACUCACCCAAAUUCUUUCUUAAAUCUCUUACUAAAAUCUUUAAUACUGUCACAUUAUCACAAGAUCAU
rnacentral:lncRNA from 1 species